rnacentral:lncRNA from 1 species
UUUUUUUUUUUUGUAAUGGUUCUCGCCCUAGUGCUUAGCACGGGUUGGACGUAUGAAGGAUUGAGAACCUUUGUAUAUUCGAUCUUUAUACUCCAUUUUGGGAUGGCAAUGUAUAUAAGUUCCGUUUUAAGUUUGGAUCGCUGUCCUAUUUAUUCUUGUGAUUUAUUCCGAUUUUAAUUGAGGACUGAAGUGAACGACUGAGUUCCGGCGAGAGUUGGGCAGGCGACCCGCCGAACCCUGGGGUACACCCUAGGGAGAGGUGGGGCCGUCACAGUAUGUGACUAUAUAUAUAAGGAGAGUGUUUUAUUUUAAAUGUGCUCUAUUAUUUUCACUUUUUGCUUUGAAAUUGCUUUUACUGAACUUCAUAGCUACUUUAUUUUACUUAUACCUAUAUAGUCUUUUUUUUUUCAAAAGAGGCAUGGAGGGUAGUACGUGUUUAGAGAUUUAAUUGUAGUUAUGAGAGGAAAUGUACUUUGGAGAUGAUUUGCUAAUGCCUAGUAUUUUAUUUCACGAUUUAGCAAGAGUAGUAACCAAGUUUCAUAGUUACGAAUUUUCUUUUUCCUCAAGUUCUUAAAUUUAUAUCACUUUGCACAAUUUGACACCUUCAUUGAAUUUUUUAGUAUAUCAAUUUAGCCAUUACGUCGGCAAGAUUUUUCCUCUAGGUAAAUUUGUUGCAGUACUAUGAGUAAGAGAAAGCCACUUAGGAAUUGGAGGAAAAUACUCUAACAUCCAGUUUUGUACGAGCAAAGGUUAGAAUUUCGAGGACGCAAUUCUAUUAAGGAGGAGAGAGUGUGAUACCCCAAAAUUUUACUUGUAUUUAUAGUUCUUAUUUGAACUUACUUGCCUUAGAUUCUUGGUUGUUUUGAUGGUUGAAUUUGAGUCAAGGGAGUGAAUUUUGUUAAGAAAAGAUUCAUAAUCUCAAGUUGUUAGAAAAUCUAGAAAUUUUCGUAGAAGGCUCUACGCAGUUUUGGAAAAUUGGCUAUAACUUCGUAUAGGAAAGUCGGAAUUGAGUUCCGUUUGUUGAAUUUGAAACUAGACUCAUAGAGCUUCCUAUAGUAAAAAAUUUAGAGUUUGAUUCAAUGUCUAUAAAUUUCAGAAAAUUGGCAAAGUUGACUGAAAAUUCUGCCAUGCACAAGUAAACAUAGGAAUGUUGUAGUAGCUUAUGGCUCAAUUUGGACCAACUUAUGAGCUGAAAUUCUUUAAUCCAGAUCUAGACCCAUUUAAUUUAGUUAGACCCAGACCCAGAUCCAGAUCCUUUUGGAUCUGAAAAAGUAAGUCCAUACCCAAUCCUUAUGGAUCUGCGUAUUCAAUGGAUAUUCAUGGGUAUUUUUUGAACAUACUGAAGUAAAAAUAUAUUUAAAAUAUAUAGAGUUCAUAAAUAAUAUAAAUACCAUCCAAUUUUUGUUUUCAAAUAAUAAAAUUAACAUUCAACAAGUUGAAUGCAAUAUUGUGAAUUCAAAGAAAGAAUUAUUACUGACUACUUCUAUAUAUUUUCAAAAAUUCAACUGCAUCCACAUCCAAUAUUUCAUUUGUUUGCCUUUACCUAUUCUCCUUUUCUUGAAAAGUUUGUAUCAAUUACAAUGACAACUAGGACUAGCUUUUAAAAAAAGAAAACAACCAUAACAUAUAUAAAUAUUUAGUCUUAUUAAAAAAAUGUAAUUUUGUACCUCUUUUUCUUAUUAAACUUCAAUAUUGAUAGAUGUCUUGCAAUCCAACACUAAAAUAGUGAAUGAGAUAAAAGUCAUUUGACUAACGAAUGAUGGCAAAUAAAUAAUAGAAUAAAAAAAAUUUAUAAACACUUACUCAUUAUUUUUUUAUUCAAUCCAAUCAUCAGUAAUCACUAAUGUUUCAACCAUAUUUAGAAGCAAUUUGGCACGAGUCUCAUUAAUCACCCAAUCACCAAUACUAAAUGCAGAUUCUAAUGUUAUAAAAUCUUACUGAAUUUGAUCCAAUAGUCAUAAAAUAUUAUAUUAUUUUAUAAAUUUACUAAUAUAUAUAUUAUUUAAUUAAAUAAAUAUGGGUCUGAGUAAGGUCUGGUAUGAAUCUGGAUUUAGAUAUGAAUUCUAAAAAACCAGACCCUACCCAGACCCACGACUCUCUCACAGGAUCUAGGUCUGGGUAGGAUCUGGAUUUGAGAAAUUAAAUCCAAACUCUACCCAAAUAUAUUGAGUUUGGGUUGGAUCUGGAUAAGACCCGACCCAUUGACAUGCAUACCCAUGGUUAAGAUUGAAACUUAUCAAACGUCUUGACCCUCUUAGUGCUUUUAUAACAGUUAGAAUGAAUAUCCAGAAUUGCAAACAAAAUUUAAAGGUCUUUAAACCCAUUAGGCUAUUGUAUUAACAUUAAACUAUAUUCAAUCGAUCUGUUGUGAAAAUUGAAUGAAGCUCCGGUCAUUGAUACAUGUGUGUGCGUGUUUGUAUGGUCUGAUUGAUACUAAUCUGAAUUGCAACCAAGUAUUCGUGUAGGUAUGUGCAUGCUUCAAUUAUGAAAUGAAAAUUUUUUAUUCUACUGUUACAAUCAGUCCAUCAGUCCACCUAUUGAUGGUGUCCAUGGAUAAGAGUGCUAUUGAUUAUAGACGUUAUAGUGUCCAAAUUUGUUUGAUUAUUUGAACGAAUUUAAAAUUUUGUGAUAAUGCGUGAUUUUUUUUUAUAAUAAAACAUAUUUCAUUCAAGAAUUACUGGAAAUCGUCCAACACAAUUGAGAUACAUUGCUGCCUUGGUGGUUGAUAAACAUGCACUAAACUUAUAGAUCUGCAAUUUAACAAAUACAUAAGAUUUGAGAAAUUAAGGACAGAUCUAAAAAGUACCAUAAAUUUGAAAAACAUUUCAUCAUAGAAUAAGUCGCAGGCUCUCUUUGUGCAUGUUGUAAUCGUCAAAUCUGCUAAUCAACAGUUGUAAGGUCCAAUAAAGAUGGUGAGAUCUGCCGAGAUUGAUCCAAAUCUGAAAUAUUCCCUCAGAUCUGCUAUCCAACUGAUUCAAGCUCAAUACUGAAAUUGAGAUCUGAUGAGAAGACUGAAGAAAUUGUAGAUCUAACAUAUAGAUCUAAAAAAACUCCAAGAUCUGAAAAAGUAAAGAAACAAAACUAAAUAAAACUCUCACUAAGAUAGUUUAGGAGAGACUAAAACUCUCAAUAGGACACCUUAGGAGAGAAGAAAACUCUCACUAGGAAAACCCAGGAGAGAUUUUAUUGAAUGAAAGGAAAAGCAAAGGACAAAGGAAGAGGAAGGGAGACCUUGGCUUAAGGCCAAGAUCUCCCUCCUAUGGAGGAGGAAGGGUAGAGGAGGAAGUCUAGAGAGGGUGUAAUUUUGAGAGAGAUACCUACUCUAGAGAGAAAAGGCAAGAGUACGUACGGUAGGUCUGUUCGAUAAUGCGUGAUUUUGUACUUAUAGUUUUGAGAGCUGAACUCAUUUACAUGCAGACUGAUCAAAAUAUUCAUUUUGCUUAUCCAAAUCAGACGAUGCAAGAAUUGGAAUUUUUGGGCUAUCAAAUAUCUUACAGGGGAAAAUUUAAGAGAAUCGAAGAACAAUUUUUCUCUUAUUUCGGCAGCGUUUCUUGAUCUUGAGCAAAUGAAUUUGACUGUCGUUUAGAUAUAUAAUCCAAAAAUUUAACAAUCGAUUCACAGAUCCGCAUAUAUAACACAAAAAAUUCUAUUUUCACUUUCUCCCCAACCAAAACGUGCUAGUAUGUCAAAAUCCCAGGGGGCAUCUGCAUACGACAUGCAUAUUCCUAGUAGUGCGUCAUGGAUCAUAAAGAAACAAUUCAAUAUGGUAAUACUGGCAAGGCACCCAAAGAGAUUAAACAACUAAAAUACGACUACAAAACUUGGAAUACUGUGAUUACUAAUGAGCUGUCCCGAACUACAGCACAACUUGAUACAGCUUAAAAAAGCCAAUUUAGACUGAUGUUUCCAAGCCAAAUGAGAAGUGGAAACUGAGCCAUGGCAAUGAAGAGCAGGAGGUAAUGAUGCCGGCUUGAAUCAUAACUCCUCACCUCUGCGAAAAGAACUCUCUUCAUUGUCUUCACCAAGAAAAUUCCCAUGCAUAAAGAUAUCCAGGGUAUCAGAGCGUAGUAUGAAUAACUCCAAAUAAGUUUUCCCACAACGGCCAGAGACAAUCCCGUGAAUGUAUAUCUGGCAUAUGCCACAAUGUCAAGUAAAGGAGCCUCCCCGCCACUCAGCGAAAACAAUGACAUUUUCAGUAGAGCAACUUGCAAAAACCAUCCUACCAAUCCCUUGGCAAACAACCAAUUUAGAGCUUCCGGCCUAAACCUGCAAAGAAACAUCAAUUUUCUCAACAAAAGAACCAAAUAAAAAGAAAUUGGAAAAAAGUCAAGUCAGCAAGGAAGAGAAAAUGAGAAUCAGAAAAAAGACAGACUACUUAGGAUGCUUCCCAAUACCUAACCCAAUCUAAAAUUUGUGAAGCUAAUUUACCAAAAGCAAGUGUCUUGUAAGAAUUAUUAGUAUUUGAAAUCUAGUUUUUAACAGGCCAAAUUGUAUGAAUGUUUGACAAUUAUAACUCAAGUAAUGAUUUUUCUAAAGGAAUGGCAUAAGUUAGGGUUUUUGGUGUGUUUUUUGGUGCAUUUUGGUAGUGUGAUUAAUUGGUAAGGUGUGUGUACUAAAUUUGGUGGUUAAUAAUGAGUUUUAUAUAAGAGAAAGUGUGCGAUUAGAAGUUCUAAUAAUAAAUUAGCGAAUCAUAAGUUAAAACACUAGUACACGCGAGUUAAGAAAAAUCGGCUUGUACUGACGCGCACCGUUUGCUACCGAUUGAAUAUACCACUUGAACACUACUUUAUUAGCUUAAUCUCUUUGUUAUUAAUUGAGAAAAAUCAGCCCUAAAUAUCUUCUCAAUGCAGCCGAAAAUUUGGACUAAAAAAACAAGUGAGAAAAGAAAAUUUUGACCUCCAAUCAAAGUGUGACACUUGUUAAACUUUGACCAAACCAAUUUCCUAUCUUCUUAUCUCUCAUUUUGGCCACUUUUUCUUCAUUCUUUCUUCAUCAUGGCCGAACCUCUUGAGGGAAAAACAAAGAAAGAAAACUUCCAUGGCUACCAUGAUUCUUACCUUGUUUGAGUGAAGAUCAACAAGAACAACAAAACUAAACCGAACAAAGUGGCAAUAAGGUAGCAAGGAAGCUUGUAGUGGAGUUUCUUUGGAGAGGAAAGGCUUGGUUUUUAACUUUUUCUUGGAGGAUUGAAGGUAAAAAGAUGGAAAAUUAUCUUUCUCUUUCUAUUCUUGAAAUUUAUUAGGAAGAUGACUUGAAAUUGGAAGUUUAUGAAAGAUAUUCAUGAAUUUGUGAAGAUUGGUGAAAUUUCCAGUUUAGGGUUUCAUUUUCCAGCCUUGAUUUGUGUUUUUUAGCUAUGAUAUGAUGGUAUCUAACUUUGUUAAGGACUUGUGUGAAGAUUUAUAGCUUUAUUCUGACUUUUUAGAUUUCAACUAAGAAUUUCCAGCUUUAGCUAUAAAAUUGCAGCUUUGUCAAGCAAUUUCCAGCAAGUGUAGUGAUUUUGUCCUGUUUUAGAAUCAAACUGACCUGCAUAUUCAUCCAUGAUAAAGGCCAAAUCAGGUUUUGCUCAAAACAUGAAAGUUGUAGGGAAUGGAGUUAAAUAUCUUAAUGUAAAAUUUCAGUUGAAUCGGAUUACUGUACCUUGUGAAACGACUAAAAUACCCCUGACUGCCCAAAAGCCCUAUUUCAUAGGCAGCUUUCUGUUUUCUCGGAGAUUGCACAUUUUGACCUUGAAAAUGCAAGAAUUGGAUGUCAAUGUCUUCAUAGGAAAUGUAUGUAUCUGUCUUAGUUUCGAAACUCCGAAAAAUUUAUCCCAAUCGGAUAAGCGUAGCUUCAGCUAUGGCCAAAACUCUGGAAGAUGUCAAACCUGUUACUUAGUCAUUCGUCUUUAAAAUUGAUUUCCAGCUUUGAUUUUGAUGGUUACAUUGCUAGAAUUGCCUUGUGUUUGGAUGAAAUUGAGUCUAUUUGAAAGGCUAUUAUGUUAAUUUUGCUUAUGUGUGAAUUUAGGCUGAGUUGAGGAAAAUAAUGAAGCCAUAAAUGGCUGAAAAAUAGCUAAAUACAAAGGGCAUGCCGCCCAAAUUUUCACUCGCAACUGAGCAAAGAUUUGAGGACGAUUUGAACUUGAUUUGUCUAAGGUAUUCGAGUCUUCUUUUGUAGAGGUAUAUAAGUUGGAAUUUGGCCGAAACUCGUACCCUUGGAAAAAUGAAAGUAGCGACAAAUAGAAAUACGUUUUUCUCAUCUUUUCGACUCAAAUGGGAAUUCCAAAGUUUUAAUCGUUUUAUUGCCAAAACCAAAAGAGCAAGCAUGAAUUUUCUAGAGUUUGAUAAGUAACAUGAACCCUAUCUAAAUGAGUUUCAUUUACUUGAUCUUCUUGAAACAAAACUCUUAAGUUUCGAACCCUAGUUGAUUUCAAGAUUUUAAAUGAUAUUGUAUCGUAGAUUUGGACUCCAACCAAAGAGUUACACAUGAGCGUGAUUUUUGACAAGCACUAAAUCUUUGGUGAGUGCUUCUAAAUACGUGAUUGAACUUGAUACUUGAUUAAAUUUUUUACCAACGUGAUCAGAUAAGAUUUGCUUGAUUUGGUCGGGCAAGUGUGUACUUUAUCGCACUUGACCUAACUCAACUAAUCACUUGAUAUUUCAUUCAUGCUUGCACAAGUGACUUGAUUUGUAUUGACCUGUACUUGUAUUUGUACUUUUGCCUGAUUUGUAAAUGCUGAGCUGCAGUAUGCACCACACUCGAUACGAGUGGGAGGUACUUCUCAUUCCCGUCUCCGUACUUUUAUCUUGAUUCAGUCGAUUGGAGAUGUUAUCUCAUCGACUUCUUGGGAACCCAAACCCCACUGGCUAGUUAAUCUAGUCGAGUCGGUAAAGGUUUGGUCGAUUAGAUAACGAACCAUGGGUAUCUAGUGUUGUCGAGUGGAGUGUUAUCUACUCGACUAAUUGGUAUAUUCGAGAAUUACCACCAGGGUUUAGUUGGUGUUCGGGACUGGCAAAGGGCUUGAAUGGUGGAAGGAUUGGUGUGAAGCGAAGCACUACUGGAUUGGUUACUUUACUUGAAAGUUGAUGGAGUAUCAACUAAUACUGGAUCAAGCUCUGGCCAAGCAACGGGAAUUUGACUCCGAGAACCAUCUGUAUCCUUAUACUUUGAUUGUUAAUAGUAGUGUUAUUAUUUCUUUUAGAAAAAGAAUUUUACACUCGCUUAUUUUGAGAUUUGCUACUUGAAGUGUUAUUACUCACUUUUAUGAACUUGUUAUGCUCGCUACUUUGCUAAUUUGAUACAUGCACUUUUAAAUAAUGGUCAACUUGCUAUUUGAAACCUCAUUGAACUUUAGCGCACCCUAUUUCAUUAAAUUUGUUUUCCUUACAGGGGAUACGAGUGAGGGCGUGAGACUGGUACAGGCUAGCAUAGUCUAGCUUUUGGAAAUUUUGCGAUUGUACUCGCGCGAGUUCUCGGUUAGGGUUGAAUGUAUCUGGAAUUCAUAUCUUUUGUUAUGAUUGGGAUUGUACGAAUGUUUGGAAUAGAAAUGAAUUUACAUGUACGUUCCAAGUUUGAGAACUGUUAUUUCCUUUACUCUUGCGGUUAUAACCUAUUUUAUUUCGAGUGAGUGAGUCUUGACGAGAAUUGGGCAGACGGUCGGCUAAAACCUGGGGUAGGCCCUAGGGGGAGGUGGGGUCGUCGCAGAUGGAAUCAGAGCUCUUAUUGAACUCAUGUCGGGAGAGGGUUCUCGGACUGUGGGGAUUGGCUUGUUAAGUGUGGAAGAAAUGUCUAUUGUUGGGGAUACUAGAUAUGUAUGUUGGAUAGGACUCUCAAUAGUGGUCGAUUUCCUCUUGAGCCUGGCCAGCUCGAGUGAUGAAUUAUCAUAUUUUCGGAUUCUUGUACCCAAAUACCAAAGAGUGAUACAUUUAUGAUAAGUCUAGAUGGCGAAAGCCAAGCAUGGGGAAUACGAAUAGUCUGGACUUGGGAGAUAUUGAAGAUAUUCAUGAGAUUUGGGACUCUUAUUAUUCAAGUAUACAUAUCUAGUUGUACCUCUUCAAAUUUUGAUUAAGUGUAGUGACUGAGCAAUACCUAGGAUUAAUGUACCAUAGGGUACGUGACUAUAUAUAUAAGGGAGUGUUUUAUUUUAAAUGUGUUCUAUUAUUUUUACUUUAUGAUUUGAAAUUGCUUUUACCGAGUUUCAUAGCUACUUUAUUAUACUUAUACCUAUAUAGUCUAUUUUUUUUUCUUUUUCAAAAGAGACAUGGAGGGUAGUACGUGUUUAGAUAUUUAAUUAUAGUCAUGAGAGGAAAUGUACUUUGGAGAUGAUUUGCUAAUGCCUAGAAUUUUAUUUCACGAUUUAGCAAGAGUAGUAACCAAGUUUCAUAGUUACAAAUUUUUCUUUUCCUCAAGUUCUUAAAUUUAUAUCACUUUGCACAAUUUGACGCCUUCAUUGAACUUUCUUAGUAUAUCAACUUAGCCAUUACGUCGGCAAGAUUUUUCCUUUAGGUAAAUUUUUAGCAGUACGAUGAGUAAGAGAAAGCCACUUAGGAAUUGAAGAAAAAUACUAUAACAUCCAGUUUUGUGCAAGCAAAGGUUAUAAUUUCGAGGACUAAAUUCUUUUGAGGAGGAGAGAGUGUGAGACCCCAAAAUUUUACUUGUCUUUAUAGCUCUUAUUUGAACUUACUUGCCUUAGAUUCUUGGUUAUUUUAAUUGUUGAAUUUGAGUCAAGGGAGUGAAUUUUGUUAAGAAAAUUUUCAUAAUCUCAAGUUGUUAGAAAAUCUAGAAAUUUUCGCAGAAGGCUCUGCGCAGUUUUGGGAAAUUGGCUAUAAUUUCGUAUAGAAAAGUCGGAAUUGAGUUCCGUUUGUUGCAUUUGAAACUAAACUCAUAGGGUUUCCUACAGUGAAAAUUUUAGAGUUUUAUUCAAUCUCUAUAAAUUCCAAAAAAUUGGCAAAGUUGACUGAAAAUUCUGUCCUGCACACACUACAAGAAAAUUGGUCAUCAGUGACAACUUUUCUCUGUGACGAAAAAAAGUUGUCACAAAAGUGGAUCCUUUAUUAACAACUUUCUCACUCGUCACAAACCUCUAAAGGGAGCCAACUUAUUUGUGAUGACUUUUUUAAGUCGUCACUAGUAAAUUCCCGCCAAGAUUUAGCAAGAGCGCGAGAGUGUUUAGAACACACAAUAGUGACAAUAUUAAGAACAUCAUCACUAUUGCUUGGCCUAUUUACUGACGACUUUUUGUUGUCGUCACUGAUCACUAAAAAAAAAGGUAUUAGUGACAACAUUUUUGUAGUGAUGAUAAUAGGUCGUCACAAAAGGAGUUUCUUUAGUCGCGACACCUAAAGUUGUCACAAUUGCAUCAAAGCAACUAAAUGUUUAGUGACGACCCGUUAUUUUCGUCACAAACUACACCGCAAGAAAUAUGGUCAUUAGUGACAACAUUUUUAGUGACGAAAAAAGUCGUCACAAAACGUGGUUGUUUAGUGACGACAAAGAAAGUUGUCAUAAUUGCUCAAAGCAACUAAGUCUUCAGUGACGACCUUGAAAAAGUUGUCACUAAAAUGAUUUAUAUAGUGAUAACUUCUAAUAUCGUCACUGUCACUCUACCGAUGCAGAUUUAGUGACAAGAAUUAAUCGUCACUGUUUAAAGUACUUAUUUCUAAGUCACUUUCAUUAAUUCUACUGUGCCACCCUAACUUUUGCGAUUUAGCCCCAAAUGUUGUAAAAAAUUCCAUUAUGAUACCUUAACUUUUACAAUUUAGCCCCAUAUAUAAUACACCGAUUUCUUUAAUUCUAUUAUUACUCCCUAACUUUUGUAAUUUAGCCCCAUAUGUAAUUCACUAAUUUCAUUAAUUCUACUAUGGCACUCUAACUUUUGCAAUUUAACACCCAUGUGUAAUACACCAAUUUUAUUAUUUCUAUUAUGGCACCCUAGCUUUUACAAUUUAGCCCCUAUUUUUUUAUUAGGAAAUUGCGAAUGGUAUCUUGAUAAACUAUGCAUAAAUAUUUUAUAAUUUUCUCAAACUUAAGUAAUAAUUUGUUAUAAACUCUAAAGAUAUAUCUUUCAUUACAAUAGUUAUAAGGAGGCAGGUCUUUUUAUCAAUGGAAUAAUAAAUUUAUGCCAGAUUUAUCCUUUAUACUACAUGCCAAGUAGUAUUAGCAAAGGAAUAACAAAGUACUACAAAGUAAUUAACAAAAUAGCCUUCAGGGAGUGUAGUUUAUGGGCAAAUGAGCAUUAUCUAUUCAAAGUACCAACUUUUUAUGGGCAUUUUACUCUCAAACAUAUAAUUUAUGAUAAAUUUAUAAAUGUUUGUAAGUAAAAUUCAAAAAGUGUUACACUGAUUUCUUACAAAACGAAAACUGGUAGGUUAUCUUUUCAAUAUAAAUUAAAAUUUUUUAAAAAAGGAAAUGGCCCAUAAAGUACCAACUCUUUGUGGGUUUCCUCCAUUGCAUGAACAAAUAUUCUGCUCUUUAUGGGCAUUUCACUCUAAAUCAUUUAAUUUAUGUUAAAUACAUAAAUGUUUGUAAGUAAAAUUCAAAAAGUGUUGCACUAAUAUUUUUAUGAGAGGGAAAUUGGUAGGUUUUGUAUUUAACAUAAAUUAAAUAUGUGAAAGCAAAAAAAAAAAGAAAUUACCCAUAAAUCUAUGUCUUGCAAAUCUAUACUAGUAAAAUAGUUUCAAACAAAAUUAAACAUUAAAAUAAACUAUAUUUUAUACACAUUAAAAUAUCUGUAAUUUAUACACAUUUUGCGACUACUACUUUGUGUUUUCUUUGUAAUGAAUUUUUUAACUAUUGUGAACUUAAGUUUUGUCUUGCAAAUCUAUACUAGUAUAAUAGUUUUAAACAAAAUUAAACAUUAAAAUAAAUGUUUGAAAAAAAACAAAAGUACAUUUAUCACUUGCAGUAAUGUACGUAACAAAAUUUUCUCAACCAUUAUCAAUAUUUUCACAAAAGUAUUAAAAACUAGCAAUUGACAAUAUUAAAAACUAGCAAUUUAAUUAGUGACGACUUUUCUUGUCAUUAUAAUCUUGAAUAAAUUAGUGAUAACAUUAUGUCAUCACUAAAUUUUCUUUGAUUUUGACUUAACAAUAAUGUCUUAUUAAUAGCAUUUGAUUAUUUUUAAUGAAAGUUUGUUAUAACCAUAAAAUUUGACUUUCGUUAUUUUCAAUUAAUGAUGUACUUUAGUGCUGCAAUUAUAAAAAAUUGCAGGGCUAAAAUAUUUGCAAAUUAUAAAAGUAUAUUUUCACUUAUAUGUAAUUAACAAAUUUUGCCACCUAUAUUGAUGAAAAUUUGUGUUUUUGUACUAAAAAAUAAAGAAUAAUACUAUAGCAAUAAAAUCUAUGCUUCAAACCAAAUUAAAAAUAAAAAAAAGCAUGAUGAUUGGUCUCAAAUGUUGGGAAAAUGAUUAUUUUUAUUGAAACUAUGUUAUAACGAUAUAAUUUGAGUUUAAUUAUUUUGAAUUGCAUGAUGUUCUUUAGUGCUGCAAUUAUAAGAAAUUAGUAUAAAAUAUUAGCAAAUUAUAAAAGUGCAUUUUCAAUUAUAUGAAAUUAACAAAUUUUGCCACCUAUGUUGAUGAAAAUUUUUAUUUUUUGCUAAAAAAUAAAGAAUAAUACUAUAGCAUUAAAAUCUAUGGUUCAAACCAUAUUACAAAUCCAGAAAAAAACAUGAUUUUUGGUAUCAAAUGGGGGAAAAAUGAGUGAAGUCAAAAUUUUGAUCAAAUCAUAGUGAAAGUGCCGCGCAACAGAAACAAUAUCCAAAGCAAAGCAAAAACCAAAGCAGCGGAACACAUUCUGAAAACAAAAGCAACAGAACACUUGGUCUGAGUUAAAGCAACGGAACACUUGAGCAACACAAACUUUCACCGAGACAAGCUUCUGCACUGAGCACAAAACAGAGCUUCCUAUACAUUUUCCCCAAUUUUUCCAAAUCCCUAAUAUUCUACUACAUUUUCCCCAAUUUUUCCAAAUCCCUACUACAUUUUCUUUUCUCCUUUUUUUUCCAAUCUUUUGCCCCCUCUAUUGAUGUCGAGGAAGCACAGGGGAGCAAGGUGUUGGAGCUGAGAGGAAAAAGACUGAAACAAGAAGGAAAAACUGAGAAGAGAAACCGAGAGAACCGAGAGUAAGGCUGAGAAAUUCUAAGCAAAAGGAAAGGGAAAGCAGUGAGUGAAGGAGAAAACCAUCGCUUUCCAUCAUCGGUUUCCAUCAUCGUUGAAGGGCAACGCUGUCCGCUAAAGAUCUUUCCAAUCCGCUUCCUUUUUGCUGUCCAGGUAUGUUACUUCUUAUCUAUCUGUUUGACGAUGACGAGGUAGCCUUGCCAUACUUAUGAUUUUAAGGUUCUUGGUACAGUCUAUGAUGAACCCAUGAGGUCUUUCGUUGGAUGUUUAUGGUUGCCCUCUUAUGUUUUGACAGGCUAAAAUCAGAAAAAUCACAUAAAUUUCCUGUUUCAACGUUCCAUUCCUUUACUUGUGGUAGUGAUUAAUGGUUUUGUUAGAACCCCUGCAACAAGAUGAAACCUUUUGCUUGUUGCAACUGUUUCUGGUACUUCUUUUUUUUAUCUUUUUUUGCCUUUCGGUCGCUGAGAUAGCGUUUGAUGUGAUGCUGUGUUUGUUGUUUGAUCCAAAGGUUUUAACUUUCUCCAAUCUGGUAAGCCAAAGACUACAUCUUUGGUCCUUAUUUGCAUAACCUGUGUCUGUUAGGGCCUUUGGAGUCCAAUCGAAGGAUGCACUGCGACAAGCUCGAAGUUAUUGGCUUGUUGCAGCAGUCUUUCCUUUCUGGGAUUGCUAAAGUUGUGGUUUCAUUUGAUAAUCUUGUUUUCGUUUGCAACUGGAGUGGGAUACUAUGAACAUAUCAGCUAUCAGGGCUGUGUUUAGAAAGUCAUUAACCUUGAACUAAAGGCACACUGUCAUCUUUUCCCAUUCCCUCGCUGUUAUGCCAGCAAUUCUAGUAGCUGAGAGUUGCUGCAACAAGGACGGUGCUCCUUGUCCUGUUGCAGCAAUGUAGACAGAUUAGAGCCCUAUUCUCUAUUGCAGCAAUAAAAAUUUAUUUCUUUUGAAUUGUUGAAGUUUCUGGAAUGGUUUGAAUUUCCUUUUUGGUUGGUUUGUUGUUUGAUAAUAAUCUCAUAUAUGAGUAUGCUACGAUUUAAAACAGCAAUCAGUAAGCCUACUACCUUCUGUUGUGCUCCUGUUCGUUCACUUGUUUAAGUAACUAUUUUCUUACGUUUCUGUGGAGUUUUGCUUAAGAGCCCGUUUGAGAGAUUUUGACUUGCUUUACCAUGAGGACAAGACUUUCAUUGCUGUUUUCCUUUUCAUAAUGCCGACCAAGUGUGAGUGUUAACUUGUUAAGUGAACUCCCAUAGGUAAAUUCAGAAUUGGUGGAGACCUUUUGAAUGAAUUAGAAUUUGCAAACUUUCACUUUGUUAGCUCUUAUCCUCUUGUAUGUACAACAUGGCAUUUUGAUUAUGAGUUUACGAAAGUUAAUGUCGGUUUGGCUGCUGAAUCUGUUUGGGUUUGAGCUGCAAUUGUUGCUGCAGAAAGAGCUUGCUUUGUGGGAGAAAAGAAAGCUUCGGUCUGCCGGAGCCCAGAAACCUUUAGGAAAUUUUAGGAACCUGAAGUUUUGGAUGCUCCUUUGUUCUUUCUUAAAGCUGUGCUUUGUAUCUUUUGAUGGGGAGUUUUUGAUAAUAGCAUUUUUUGAGGCUAAUGUGACCUGUUUUUGGGUAACUUGUGGUCAAUGUGGACUAUUUUUUGGUAAUAGCUGGUAAUAGCAUUUUUUGGGGCUGAUGUUAUGCAUCAUUGUGGACUAUUUUUUGUUAUAGUUGUGUAGUCCAGAUGGUAAAUAACAAUUUAUGGAUGCUCGCACCAAGAAAAGGAAAAAGAAAGAAAAAAUGUCUUAUGUCUAGGACCCAUAAUAACUCAAUCACAGCAAAUGCUGGAUGAAGACUGUCCUUAUUGAGGAAAUAUUUCACUCGUUUUCUUCUUAUUUUUAUCUUGGAUUUGUGUAUCAAUUUGCUUUCAAAGCAAAUCCAGAUUAAAAAAAAUGGGAUGUUGACUUGUGGAAAAUGUGAACCAAUUAAUGUUGAAUAUUGAUUUGAGUCCCAUUUCGGAUGGUUUUGUUCCUAUCCAUUUAUUAUCAUCACUUUUUUUUUGGAAUAAAGCAAAGUGGUCAUAUUGUGAAGCUCACAUUAUAGUAUUAUACUUAACAAAUUUGAAAAUUAGAUAACCUUCAUGUAUUUGUGACAUGUUUGACAGUUAGUUUCCUUUUUGUAUUUAUGAACCAAAUGUGUAGUUGUGACAUGUUUGAAUUUACUAAUAGCUGUGUUGUAUUUUGUUUAAUUUUUAUUAUUGUUGUAUGGGAAGAUUAAUUUUCCUGUAUUGAGCUUAAUUUCCUAUAUUUAUACUUAAGUGUUGUCGUUGUAGUAUCAUGGUUGCGUUUUUUUUUGUGUUAGGAUCAACAGUGCUUGUGAAAAAACAUGGAUAGGAGUUAGAUGACAAUUAAAGAUUACUUGCAUCCUAGAUAUUUGGCAGGAGUGAAAGAAUUCGUUGAAUUUGCUUAUUUAGGCAAGGAUCCCACAUAUAAGCUCCCUUGUCCAUGUAAAGGGUGCAACAACUUUGAGGAUCAAACUAUGGAGGUCAUGAAAAGUCAUUUGUGUGGGGGAAUUGUUGAGAGCUAUACUAGGUGGGUAUAUCAUGGUGAAAGGUUUGAAGAUUCUGAUGAGGAUGAAAAUGAUAACAUAGUUUUAGAUGAAGAAAACAGUGAGUCAGAUGAUAUUCAAGAAAUGUUAAAUGACAUUGGUACUGCAAACUUUGGCGAGAAUUGGAGAAAUUCGGGGGAACAUAAUAGGGAUAUACCAAAUAAGCAAGAGGGGGAAGCAAGUAAGUUUCUUAGAUUGUUAUCUGAAGCUGAAAAAAGCCUCUACCCGGGUUGUGAUAAGUACUCAAAACUUUCCUUUGUUGUCCAUAUCCUUCAUUUGAAAACUAUGAAUCGGUGGACUUGCAAAUCCAUCGAUAUGCUACUGAAAUUCCUCAUUCAAGUCUUCCUCAUGGCAUCAAUUCCUAGCUCAUACUAUGAUGCAAAAAAUUUAAUUCAUGAGCUAGGACUCAAGUGUGAAAAAAUACAUGCAUGUGAAAAUGAUUGUGCACUUUAUUGGAAAGAAAAUGAAAGCCUCGAUCACUGCCCAAAUGAAAAAUGUAAAGCACCUCGUUAUAAAUCCCCGGGUUCUAAAAUUCCUAGAAAAGUGCUUCGCUAUUUCCCCUUAAAAUCAAGGUUGCAAAGACUAUUCAUAAACAAAGAGAUAGCUCAAGAUAUGAGGUGGCAUAAAGAGAGACGCGUUCCCAAGGAAAACACAAUGACACACCCUGCUGACUCAAUAGCUUGGAAGGAGUUUGAUAGCAGUCACCCAUCUUUUGCCGAAGAUCCUCGUAAUGUUAGGUUGGGGCUUUCAACUGAUGGUUUCAAUCCCUAUGGAAACAUGAAUAAUGCAUAUAGUAUAUGGCCUGUAAUCCUUGUUCCUUACAAUCUACCACCUUGGAAAUGCUUAAAGGACCCUUUUUUCCUGUUAUCAAUGAUUAUUCCAGGUCCUAAGUGCAUAGGAAAUGAUAUGGAUAUAUUUUUUAGGCCUCUAAUUGAUGAAUUGAAAGAGUUUUUUGACACUGGCUUUGAGACUUAUGAUGCAGCCGUGGGAGAAAAAUUUAUGUUACGGGCUGCUCUAUUGUGGACUAUAAGUGAUUUUCCAGCAUAUGCCUAUUUGUCAGGGUGGAGUACGAAAGGUUAUAAGGCCUGUCCUAUUUGUUUAGAUGAUACAACCAGUGUAUAUCUGAGAAAUGGAUUAAAAUGUUGCUAUAUGGGGCACCGGCGAUUUUUGCCAGCGGACCAUAAAUGGCGCAAAGAAAGAAAGUCAUUUGAUGGCAAGAGUGAUCUUAGACAGCCUGUUAGAACUUUAUCCGGUGAAGAAAUCUUUGAACAACUUCAAGAGUUUGAUCAAAUGGUGUUUGGUAAGGCACCUGAAUUGCUUAAAGAGAAGAAAAGAAAACGCAUGCAAAAUCAGUCAAAUUGGUUGAAGAAAAACAUUUUUUUUGAGCUGCCAUAUUGGAGUACUAACAAAAUUAGACACAACUUGGACAUUAUGCAUAUCGUGAAGAAUGUGUGUGAAAUUUUGUUGGCUACAGUGAUGGGUACGGGACACAAAAAUAGGGACACUUGACAAGCUAGAGAGGAUUUGAAGGAAAUGAGAUUGAGGAAAGAAUUGCAUCUUCAAACUCAAGGGGAUUCAAGGGUGAUGCCCGCUGCAUGCUACACUCUUUCACGCAGCGAAAGACAAAAACUAUGCCAGUUUUUGAGCUCACUCAAGUUCCCCGAUGGAUUUGCCUCAAACAUAUCUCAUUGUGUUAAGCCAAAAGAGUGCCAAAUUUCAGGGAUGAAGAGUCAUGAUUAUCAUGUAUUCUUGCAACGUCUACUUCCAUUAGCAAUUAGAGGCAUGCUGCCAAAGGAUGUUUCCCAAACUUUGGUAGAACUAAGCAAUUUUUUUAGGAAAAUUUGUUCCAGGACUCUUUAUGUAGAUGAGUUAGAUGCACAGGAGAAAAACAUUGUUGUAAUACUCUGCAAACUUGAAAAAAUUUUCCCUCCAAAUUUCUUCGAUGUAAUGGUCCAUUUAAUGGUCCAUUUACCUGCUGAAGCAAAACUUGCUGGCCCAGCACAAUACCGGUGGAUGUUCCCAUUUGAGAGGUAGUGUAAAGGCUAUUUUAAGACUGAAUCUUCUUUUGCUUCAUAGGGUCGUACUGCUGUGACAUCUUAUGGCUGCAUUUUUGUGACACAGAAAAAUGGGUCAAUACAAAGGUUAUGUGCACAACAGAGCUCGACCGGAAGGAUGCAUUGUUGAGCGUUACUUGGAUGAUGAAUGUCUAACAUUCAUUUCUAGGUACUUGCACAAUGUUCCUACAAUAUUUAAUGAACCAGAAAGAAACACCGAACGCUUUGAGGCUGCUGGAAAGUUGUCUAUUUUUUCUGGAAUGGCUCGGCCUUUUGGGGCAGCAACAUUUUGUUGCUUAAGUGAAUCAGAGUUGAUGAAAAUACAUUUAUUCAUCUUGAAAAAUUGUGAAGAAAUUGAUGAUUACAUAAGGUAAUAAAUUUAUUACCUUAUGUAUAUGAGAAGUGUUAUAUGUUUAGUCAAUUAUAGCACUAACCGUAGCACAUAGAUAACUAAUAAUACUAUUGUAUAGGAUGCACAAAGAAUUGCUUCAGCAGCAAAAUGUGUCGAAUGUAGAGCAGAUGCACGAUUUAGAGUUUCCAAAGUGGUUUGAAGAUCGUGUAAGUAUGGAACAAACAACUAGAAAACUUGUGGUAUUUAUAUAGUUGUUAAUUUGUUCAGUCAUUCUAAUUUCUUAUUUGGGUUAUGUAGGUCACUUACAUGCAUACACUAGGCAGAUGCUGUGAUGAAUUGUUGUCUUUGGCCAAAGGACUGGAUUUUAGAGUGAUCAAAUAUCCUGGUUGUAAUGUCAAUGGGUUUAGAUUUCAUACCAAAACACGUGAGGUAGACAGAAAAACCCAGAAUAGUGGCAUUAUGGUGAAGGGUGAGCAUGCUGAUGUAGAAAUAAACUUCUAUGGUGCUAUUACAGAUAUCUUAGAGGUUGAAUACUCCUUCAGUCAAAGCCGAGUAGUUCUGUUCAAGUGUGAUUGGUGGGACUUGAAAAAUAGCUCAUGUCUUAAAAUAGACAAACAGAGUAAUCUAAGCAGCGUCAAUUUGUCAAAAAAAUGGUAUAUAGACCAGCCAUUUGUAUUCGCUUCCCAAGCCGAACAGGUCUUUUACGUAAAGGAUAUGAGGCUUGGAGGUGAUUGGCAUGUUGUCGAGUCAGUCUGUCCACGUUCAUCAUAUGCUGUUCUUGAAAAGGAUGAGGAUAAAUCAUGUGAAGAAGAGGUUUACCAAGAAGAUUAUCUUGAAGACCUAAUUGGGGUUCAAGAGAAUGUCGAUUUGUCUAACUUGAAAAGAGGUGAUAUGCUAGCUGAUGAAGCUAUAGAAACUGGCAUCCUAAAUUCUGAUUCUUCAGCUAAACAUGCCAGGAAAAUGGAUGAUUUUUUUGUUGAUGAUGAUGAGAUUCAGCAAUUGAGCUCGAGUGAAGAUGAAAGUCAAAAAUUUGUAGAAAGUGAUGACUAUGAGUCUGACUAAACGAUGUUGUAAAUAACAUUUUCAGUUUCUAUAUAUAGUUACCAUGUAACUUUUGGUUCAAAUCAAGUGUAUUUCUUAUCUUGAAUUAUUUUUAGUCACUCUUAUCUUCUAAUUUGCAAUAUCUAUUGUAAAAUACAAGGCAUAUUAAUUAAGUUCCUGCUUCGGGUGAGCAUGCUGGUAAUUGUACCUUGUCCUGGCUUUUUAGAUAUAUUUAGUCUAAAUGCAUGGCUGAUUGAUAUCUUUUUAUCAUGUAGUUACAUGGCUGGGCCAGGGAAGAAAGGAAAAUGUCCUAUGCGACCAACUCGAGGUGCUGAAAUACCUAAUGCAGCAGAAGCUAGAGAAAAAAUAGGUGAACACGUGAUGAAAAUUGACUUUGCUAUGUACUUGUACCUUCACUUCUUUAUACCAUUGGUUUUAAACAAUUAAGCAUCUGCCCUGCUGUGUAUUUCUUACUUCACUAUAGCAAGUUGGUGGCCCAAAAGGUAGUCUGGCUAGCAAUGCCAAUAAUGGUGCUGAAUUCAGCCUAUCUAGAAAGUCAGUUCAAAUUCGCCUAUUUGAUGAGACUGAGGUUAGUUCUUACUUUUGGUAGUUGGCAAUAUUUCAAAAAUACAUUUCUAAUGUGUAGUUGGCUGGAUUUUAGGAUCCUACUACCUCAAAUGGUCGCAAAACUACUACAGGAUCAUCAAGACAUGAGUUGACAACUCCUACAUCUAUUGAGCAGCAAAAUACUACUCCUACUUCAGUACAAGUCGGAUCUAACCAGUCCAUUGGUUGUGGAAGUGACCGGAAUAAUGAGAGCGAUGAUGUUCAACAGAAUGAUACCGGUAUAUGAGAUUUACUUGUAAUUUAUAUUACACAGCUAAUUUCAUUUCAGAUUUUUCCACUCACAUUCAUAACUGUGUACUAUGUUUUGGGUAGGUGGUAUCAAUGUAACUAGGAAAAGAGGAUAUACUCGCAAUAUUGCACUGUCCAAGGAAAAGAAGGCCGGCAAAAAGGUAAAAGUCCAGGUCUCUGAAGUUAGUGGAAGAGUAAUUGGAGAAGGGGCACAACAGUACAUCUCAGAGGCAAGUUGUGUCAUUCGUAAAUAUGGCAAAUGGAAAGCAGAAAAAUGGUCCAAACUCCAAGAAUCUGAUAGAGAAGGAAUGCUAAAACUUGUUAAUGUAAGUGAAAUUGUUUUGAAGGCUUGUUUUUCUUCUUGACUUGGUAACAACUAGUUCUGCAACAGGUCAUUUAUGCACUUUUUCUGACAUUUACAAUAAAUUUUUCACUCAUAUUUCAGAAUAGUUUUGCUUAUGAUGAAGGAGAACAUGUUAAGCCAGCACUUCUUAAGCAGUUAAAUACACAGUACAGAAGUCAACGAUACAAUUUUCACAAGAUUUUCAAGAAAUUUAGUACAAAAGAGGAAGCACUUGCAAAUCGUCCACAAUAUGUUGAAGAAUCUGAUUGGAUUUACCUUUGUGACUAUUUCUGUAGUCUAAAUUUUAUGGUAUAGAGGCUGACUUUUGAUCAUUUACUAUUGUUCUUUCUCAUGUUUUUUGUGUGUUAAAUUUUGAUCACGGCUGAACUUGAUAAGUGCAGAAGAUAAGUGAGAGGAACAAGAUCAAUAGAUCAAAGCAAAAAACUGCUCAUACAGCUGGAACAAAAUCCUUUCUUCGUCAUAAAGCUGACCGGGUAUUUGAUUAUCUUGAAGACAUGUCUUUUGGAUUGUUUAGGCAGGUUAUUUAACUUCUUAUUGUAACAGGAAGCACAAGAAGGGAGGGAAGUUGGACCAAUAGAACUUUAUGACAUCACCCAUUACAGCAAGAAGAAGAAUGCAAUGGUUGACGAAACAUCUGCUAUGAACUUAGUAAGAAAAAUGGAAUUGGUACUCUAAUAUUGUUGUACAACUCUUAUGAAAGUCUAACUUCAGAAUUUACCUUUGUGACAGAGCAUGAUGAAGGAGAAAAAGUUGGAAUCUGAAUCCAGUGGUGCAAAUAGGACUGAAGAAGACAUUUCCAUUGAAGUAACUGGACGUGUAACCGGAUACGUACAUGGCCGUGGUCCCUCCAAAGCUGGAAUAAUUGCCCAAAAGCUUGCAGAGAUAGAUGAUUUCAAGAAAAGAGCAGAACAAGCGGAGAAGCGCUCAGCUGAGUUGGAAAUAACAGUCCAAUCUCAACAACAACUUAUGGAGAAGCUUGUGAACCAGCAAAGUGAAAUGCAGAACCAACAAAGUGAAAUGCAAGAUCUCCUUAAAUCUUUGAAAGCACAGCUGCAAGCCAACAAGUAAGACGAUGAAGGCACAUCUGAACGAACUGAUUGGUAAGCAAUUUUCAACUAUAUAUACUUGUCUAAAUAGAUAUAAUGGCUGCUAUGGUUUAAAGUUAACAUAAGUUAUUGCAAAUUAGUUAUUGGUAGGCGACAAUAUUAACUUGUAAUAUCAAGACUGAGGAGGGACAUUUAAGAAUUACUUCUGUCAACACAAGGUUCUAAUCAGAUGGUGUUUUGAUCCUGGGAGUACAUUUGUGGCUUUAUCAUAGCUUUGUUAUCAUGAAACAAUAACAUUACACAAAAAAAAAGCUUCAAUAGUGUUUCUGUUUCAUGAUAUUAAUUUGAGGAGCACAGAAGGGCUAAAGAAUAGAAAAGAUUAUUAUUGUCAUUUGGCCAAUGAGUUAGCUAAAAACUUUUCAUGGCCAAUGAGUUAGCUAAAAACUUUUGACGGAACAAGAUAUACAGUCCCAAGUGUUAAGUGAACAAUUUAAUCAAUCUCCGACUUGUGUUGGGUUGGGAGAAUACUGCAUUUGAUUACGUGAACAUUUUAUCAAUCGCUGACUUGUAUUGUAAGAUUACUGAUUUGAUUACGUGACUAUUCUAAAAGGAAUAUUCCUCUUGUAUAGCAGAGUGGUAGUAUAGUAGUGAUGGACGAACAAAACAGAAGAUUUAUUCAUCUUUGACAGUAUUUUGACAGAUUAAAGAAACAUUGCUGAUGCCAAAAUUGGUCUUCAUUUGUGACAAACCUCCUCUUUACAACCGUUAACACUUGUUCUUUGGUAGUCAACCAAGGCAUCUUGUGUAGUAGAUAAGGCCUGCAAUUAUCACAGUUCCCAGUUUUUCCCUGUUUCCAUCCAUUGCAGCAAAAACAUAUCAUUUCUUGACAUCCAGGCAAAAUUUGCAGAAACAAGAUUUUUCUACCCCACCGAUGUCUUCAGCAAUCAAAUUCGGAUCAUCAAUCCAAUCCACCAACUCUUUCCUCCUACACACACUCCUGUGCACUAAUUUUUUUUUCCACAGACCAUCAAUCCAUUUACAAUCCUCCGGAUGGCAUGCAGGGUGGAAUCCGAUUCAGCUCUACAGACUUCAGUUCUAAAGAUUGCUUUUUCUUCAUUGGGGUAAACAGUUUUGUUAUGUCUUACCAGUCAUGAGAAGAACUGCCACCUACCUACCUAGUCCUCCUUGCUCACCUGUUACACAUACUCUCCCCUUCUCCAUCUUCUCCCCUUCCAUUAAUUUGUGUCCGUCUAGCCUUUAAUACCAGUAUAGUACUGUUUGGUCUCUCUGCAGUAGAUUGUCAGUUUCAACUUGAAGAAUUAAUGUAUUUCUAGUAUAGUAUUUCACUUGAAGAAUACCAGUAUAGUACAUGCGAAAUGUAUUUCCUUCAAGUAGUUAAAGGGAAUCUUCCUUGUUAGUUAGACUGUUGUGCUGAGUCAACAAUCAAGUAGUUAUUUUGUUAUUCUUGAGCUGUAUAAGAAUGCAGAAAUCUGGAUUGGGCAACAUGGAAAAAUCAUUUUGAAUAAUAUCUCUCUUUCUUCUUCCUCAAGUCUAGUUUCUCUCCCCCUUAUCACUCUAUUUCUGCUGCAAUUGCUGCAUUCAUUACGAUGGUAUCAGAUUAGUGAAUGCUUGUUACUUUUGUUGUUUAUUUAGCAAUUAGAGACUGUUUUGCUUUUGUCACCUGAUAACUUUACUAAUAACUUUACUACUUUAUUGCAGAUAUAUUGCUCAUUUUGGAGGUUUCGAAGAAGAUUAGCAGUACGGCUUACAUGUCGGCUCAAAAACUGUGGUUAUAGUGCUGUCUUAAGUUUAGAAAAUGUUUCAGAAGCGUAGGAAAUGUUUUGGGACUUGGAAUAUGUUUUUUAGUGCAGCCUUGACUUAUAUGAGUAGUAUUUGUUCUACUCAAACUUAUGAAACUAUUUGUACUAUGAUGUUGCACUUAUUUAUGACAUUUGAAUAUUUAAUAUAUUAUUUUGACAUAUUCUAUUGUAACGGUGCCUACAUUUGUUAUUUAUUAAACAUUGCUGAUAUUUUCAUUUUUUAGAUAUUAUUGCAGUAGGAAAGUCAUGUGUAAGGUGUUGUAAAUGAGUAGUAUUUUUCUAGGCAGGAUGUCUUUAUUGACAAUUGUUAUUGUCACUCAAUCAAAACUGUCUAUUGAUAAGGGAAUGUUGUCACAGUUGAUCAGGGGUUUAUUGACAACAAAGUCGUCACUAAUUCCCCUAUGCCCUCACUAUCGUCCCUUCAUGCAUCACUUGCAUCACUGACAAGAGAAGGUGUUGUCACUAGAUUUAUAGCUUUUACUGAUGACAUAUGUUGUCAUUAAAAGUUUCAUUCAGUGACGACUCUAUAAUUUCAUCUUUUACUGACGAUAUAGCUUGUCAUAAAAAAGGUUCUAUUUACUGACGACUUUAAAGUCGUCACUGUAUACUUUUACCGACGGAGAUUCAGUGACGACCUUGCGACAACUGAAAUGUUGUCAAUAAUGGUCAUCAGUGACGACUUUUUGAUUAUUUGUGACGAAAAGUAGUUAUCACUGAUGACCAAAAUUCUUGUAGUGACAAGUAAAUAUAGUAAUGUUGUUGUAGAUUAUGGCUCAAUUUGGAUCAACUUAUGCGCUGAAAUUCUUUAAGAUGUCUUCUAAGGAUUAUUAGUAUUUGAAAUCUAGUUUUUAACAGGCCAAGUUGUAUGAAUGGUUGACAUUUAUAACUCAAGUUAUGAUUUUUCUAAAGGAAUGGCAUAAGUUAGGGUUUUUUGUGCAUACUAGGGUUUUUGGUGUGUUUUUGGUGUAUUUUAGUAGUGUGAUUAAUUGGUGAGGUGUGUGUACUAAAUUUAAUGGUUAAGAGUGAGUUUUAUAUAAGAGAAAGUGUGUGAUUAGAAGUUCUAAUAAUAAGUUAGUGAAUCAUAAGUUAAAACACUAGUACACGCGAGUUAAGGAAAAUUGGCUUGUACUGACGGGCACCGUUUGUUACCUAUUGAAUACACCACUUGAACACUACUUUAUUACCUUAAUCUCUUUGUUAUUAAUUGAGCAAAAUCAGCCCUAAAUAUCUUCUCAAUGCAGCCGAAAAUUUGGACUUAAAAAAACAAGAGAGAAAAGAAAAUUUUGACCUCCAAUCAAAGUGUGACACUUGUUAAACUUUGACCAAACCAAUUUCCUAUCUUCUUAUCUUUCCUUUUGGCCACUUUUUCUUCAUUCUUUCUUCAUCAUGGCCGAACCUCUUGAGGGAAAAACAAAGAAAGGAAACUUCCAUGGCUACCAUGAUUCUUACCUUGUUUGAGUGGAGAUCAACAAGAACAGCAAAACUAAACCGAACAAAGUAGCAAUAAGGUAGCAAGGAAGCUUGUAGUGGAGUUUCUUUGGAGAGGAAAGCCUUGGUUUUUAACUUUCUCUGGAGGAUUGAAGGUAACAAGCUGGAAAAUUAUCUUUCUCUUUCUAUUCUUGCAAUUUAUUAGGAAGAUGACUUGAAAUUGGAUGUUUUAUGGAAGAUAGGGUAAAAUACACUAAACCCCCUUGUGGUUUGGGUUAUUAUCAUAAAACCUCCUCAUUGUUUAAAAAUCCCCAAAGAACCCCCUCAUGGUUUGGACUAAUUUGGAUAAUGAACGGAAAUCAUCUAAUUUGACGGAAAAUAUGAAAUUCCUAUAUUAACCUUGUUUCAACCUAUACUAAAAGUUAGUUCAAGAUUUACAUAAGAUUUUAAAAACUUUCUCGCUUCAUUAUAAAGAAACAUCAAGUGGCUCAUUUGAAAAUUUCAAAACUUAUCAUCUUCUCCAAAUCUCCACUUUUUCUUUCGACGACAGUAGAUCAACCACCAAUUUCCACAGCCACCAUUCAACUGAAAAUCCAAAUCAAGACAAGACCCAAAUUAUACUUUCUUAAUUCUCUCAAAUCUUGCAUAUUCAUGGAGGAAUUUAUCACUGUUAUCAUCCCAUCUCAAAAAACUCCAUGAAAGAACAAAAUAUACUACUCCACUUUAGUUGCAUAAUAUUAAUGGGCCCUAAUCAGGAGAGCUCUGCAAAACUACUGGGUUUGGUGAAAUUGGGAAGUUAAGAGAACAAAUUGUGUUGUGGCUUUGUACCUAGCAAACCUAGGCGUUAUUUGGGUGUUACCCCAAGGGACAAAUUCCGCAACACAUCUCCCAUGGUAGGCCUAUCUACCUCGUAGUCUGCCAAGCAUUUCUCCACUGUCUCCCCCAAUUUUUUCAAAGAAGCUGGUCUUAUUUGACCUCUGAGAUGCGGAUCUAUAAUCUACUGAAGCAACCCCUUCUUCUGCCAUUCUGGUGCCCAUUCACCUAAAUUUACGUGCUUCCGGGAUAACAAUGGAUCCACGGCAGGCCUAGCACAGAGAACCUCAAAUAGCACAACCCCGAAUGAGUAAACAUCUGACUUGUUUGUAAGCUACUGCCUGCGAAAAUACUCUGGAUCAAGGUAGCCAAAACUUCCUUUUACACCUGUGCUUACAUGGGUCUCAUUCAGACAUGGGCCAGACCUUGACAGUCCAAAAUUUGCAACCUUAGCAACAUAACUCUCAUCAAGCAAAAUGUUUGUUGAUUUGAUGUCACGAUGAAUGAUCCCUUGCGCCGAACCUGUAUGAAGAUAGUGGAUGCCAUUAAUUCUUUGUCAAAGGAUUUUCUGGUGCUCAGUCUUCCUGCUUGCUGCUUCUUUCUCAGUCUUUCAAAGUCAAAAAACUUUUUGCUUUUUUUUUCCUUUUCACAGCUCGAAGAAAGUUACCGCUCACACACCUCCAUCUCUGCUUUCUGGUUUGUUGCACCAGUAGGUGAGAGAGAGAGGGAAAAGAAAUAGAGAAGGAAAGAGGAAAAAAGAAAAGUAAGAAUAACAAAAAUUGGUGUUGAUUUUGCUUCAGUUUUUCUACUCCAAAUAGUUCAGGAGAAAGAAGAACAAGGAAAAAAAAAUGUUACCCUUGAUGUAUUGUUAUCACACUUGCUUGUCAAGCGUGUGUAAUUCACUUUCCGUUAAAUUUGACGAUUUCUGUUCAUUGUCCAAAUUAGUCCAAACCACGAGGGGGUUCUCUGUGGGUUUUUAAAUGAUGAGGAGGUUUUAUGAUAAUAACCCAAACCACAAGGGGGUUUAGUGUAUUUUACCCAUGGAAGAUAUCAUGAAUUUGUGAAGAUUGGUGAAAUUUCCAGCUUAGGGUUUUAUUUUUCAACCUUGAUUUGUGUUUUUUAGCUAUGAUAUGACGGUAUCUAACUUGGUUGAGGACUUGUGUGAAGAUUUAUUGCUUUAUUCUGACUUUUUAGCUUUCAACUAAGAAUUGCCAGCUUUAGCUAUAAAAUUUCAGCGUUGUCAAGUAAUUUCCAGCAAGUGUAGUGAUUCUAUCCUGUUUUAGAAUCAAACUGACCUGCAUAUUCGUCCAUGAUAAAGGCCGAAUUAGGUCUUGCUCAAAACAUGAAAAUUGUAGGGAAUGGAGUUAAAUAUCUGUCUGUUAAAUUUCAGCUCAAUCAGAGUACUAUAUCUUAUAAAAUGACCAAAAUACCCCUGACUGCCCAAAAGCCCUAUUUCACAUGCAGCUUUCUAUUUUCUCUGAGAUUGCACAUUUUGACCUUAAAAAUGCAAGAACAGGGUGUUAAUGUCUUCAUAGGAAAUGUAGGUCUCUGUCUUAGCUUCGAAAUGCCAUAAAAUUUACUCCAAUCCGAUAAGCAUAACUUCAGCUAUGACUAAAACUCCGGAAGAUGUCAAACCUGUUACUUAGUCAUUCGUCUUUAAAAUUGAUUUCCAGCUUUGAUUUUGAUGGUUACAUUGCUAGAAUUGCCUUGUGUUUGGAUGAAAUUGAGCCUAGUUGAAAGGCUAUUAUGUUAAUUUUGCUGAUGUGUGAAUUUGGGCUGAGUUGAGAAAAAUAAUAAAGCCAUAAAUGGCUGGAAAAUAGCUAAAUACAAAGGGCAUGCCGCCCAAAUUUUCACUCGCAACUGAGCAAAGAUUUGAGGACGAUUUGAAUUUGAUUUGUCUAAGGUAUUCGAGUCUUCUUUUGUGGAGGUAUAUAAGCUGGAAUUUGGCCGAAACUCGUACCCUUGGAAAAAUGAAAGUAGCGACAAAUAGAUAUACGUUUUUCUCAUCUUUUCGACUCAAAUGGGAAUUCCAAAGUUUUAAUCGUUUCAUUGCCAAAACCAAAAGAGCGAGCAUGAAUUUUCUAGAGUUUGAUACGUAACAUGAACCCUAUCUAAAUGAGUUUCAUUUACUUGAUCUUCUUGAAACAAAACUCUUAAGUUUCGAACUCUAGUUGAUUUCAAGCUUUUAAAUGAUAUUGUAUCGCAGAUUUGGACUCUAACCAAAGAGUUACACCUGAGCGUGAUUUUUGAUAAGCACUAAAUCUUUGGUGAAUGCUUCCAAAUACAUGAUUGAACUUGAUAUUUGAUUAAAUUUUUUACCAACGUGAUCGGAUAAGAUUUGCUUGGUUUGGUCGACCAAGUGUGUACUUUAUCGCAUUUGAUCUAACUCAACUAAUCAGUUGAUAUUUCUGUGAGGACACAUAUUUUAAUUAUUGCAAAAUAUUCUUAAAUUGGUCAUUUAAAAGUAUUUUUGCGUGUGAGUUACUCAAGUUUUCCCAAAUUGCAUGAAUUUCUCGAAAAUGAGUCUAAACAAUUGGUUCUUUAAACAAUUAUUAUUUUAAUGUCCAAAUUUAUUCGAGUUGAAUUAUUUAUGGUGAUUUUGAUUGUUAUAUAUACUUGAAUUAUCAUAUUCUAAAGUUUUAGAGUCUAAUAAGUUGAUGUUUCAAAGUUCGAGCGAGAAUUCCUUAAGUUCGACCCUUGUGCGCCCGCGUGCCAAAAUGGCCCCGACAGGCGCAUUAAUCAGCUUAAUUGGAGAUUUAAGAAUUUGAUAUUAGACUACUAAGAAUGUACUAUUAAUGCACGAGAGGAAUUACCUCGGAGGUUUAGUGCACAAAAGUAGCAAACGAGCGCGAAAAGUGGCGCGAAACCCUAUUCGGACCUAGCGAGGUUUGACCUUGAAAACUUAGCCUUUAAGCUUCCUUUUCUCCCCAAAAAACACACUUAAAACAUUCUGAAACAAUCUCUCUCAUCUUUCUCUCUCUAAAUUCGGCCCUCACCAGAAAAAAUAAUGGAAGAAGAGCUCUCCAAUUUUUCUGCUCAAACCUUGCACCUAAUCCAUCAAAGUUCCUCAUCAACUUGUGGGUUUUCAUCCUAGCUAAGUGGAGAAACUGAUUUUGAGGCUUUGAUGGUGGAUUGGGUGGUUGACGGUGGUGAAAUUUGGGAAGGAAAAUUCUGAUUUUGCAAGGUUUCAUAGCUCCAAGAGGUAACACACAAAAUCCUUGCUUUCUUGGUUCAUUUCUAGCUUUGAAGCUUGUAGCUUCCUUAUUGUUGUUAUUAGUUGAAUUUGGUUGGUUGAUGUGGGCUUUAUGAACUCCCACCAUUGUUGUUUAAGGGCUGUUAAGAUGUUAAUGUGUGUGUGAGUGUGAUUUUGGUGAGUUAUAAUGGUCGAAACUAGAAGAGGAAGAGAAAAUAGGGGAACCAAGAGAAGGGAGGACUGCUGACCGAAAUUCUUGACCUUGUUACUCUGUUUUUCUGCCCAUAUUUUCGUGCCUUUUUUUUGAGUCCAUUUGGGUGCUGAUAUGUUGAGCUUUUAAGUGAACAAAAUUUCAGCCAAAAACUCUUUGAUUUGGUACACCAAAAUUGCACGUAAAAUUUAGUCACAACCCUGGAAAAUUUCUAACUUGCUGCCCGACUUUCUUGUUUGCUGCUGCCCUGUAAUUUCGAAACUUUUAGGGUGGUAAUUGAGCUUCCAAAUUGAUGUAGAUAUGUUGUGCUAUGUGUAUUGUGGUUGUCUACCAAAAAUCAACCCAAAUGGUUGGUUAAAUUUUGAGUUACAAGUAAAGAAUCAAAACUGGAACAAGCUCCAGAAUUUUCUGACCAGCAACAUUUGUGUAGCUAUAACGUUUUGCUCGUUGAUCGAAAUCAAGUGCUACAUGUGGCAUUUGAAACUAGACUCUUAUAACUUUAAAAUGAUACCAAGCACAUUUUCUAGUUCAUCCCGAGUGAUCCGUGGUGAGUCUUGAAAGUUUGCUGAUUGACAGCCACUGUUCAGCCGAGGACAGUCCAGAAAUUGCAACUUUUUUCUGAUUUUUGAACCACUUGGGUUUCGAUAUUGAAAAUGAUUUCUUCUGUGUAAAUGUAGCCUUCUGUGUAAAUGUUUUGCCCUAUCUUCUAUGAACGGAAAUUUCACUUGAAAAAUUGACUUGCUUCUGAUUUGACUUUUGGAUAACGGUCUUCUACAAAGUUGUUAUGCUUCACAUGAAGUUUCCGACAAUGUAAAAUUUUCCAUUUUUGGACUUUCUGAACUUCCGGACCGAUUUUUCAAAAUUUCACGCGUAAAAGUGAAAUUUUCCGAUUUGAACCUGCUUGCUCUGUUAAGAGCUUAGGUCACUCUUUUGAGACUCUUGGGAUAUUCCAAACUUAUUUUAUGGUGAAAACGUGCUCACUUAUAAUUUGAAACUUUAUUUUGAAUGUCGGUUUCGAUAAACCGAAACACUUGAAAAUUUGGCCUUGAGCAUUUUAACUAGAGAAAUCCUUGAGGAAUUUCACUAAAUUUCCUAUUUGAAAGUUAGAACUUUAACUUCCAUAUUUAUUAUGGAAAACGUGAUUGUUAGGAAACUCUGACUUUGUAAGUUCAGAAAAUAUGAUUUUUCACUUAUAAUCUAGUACUUGGGCUUUUAUUGAAAAUUUUCUAGUACGAACACAUUUUUCUCCUUUUUCGAUUUUCGUGCCAAAUUAAGCAUUUUACUCUUCUUUUGAAAUUGAUAGUCCUUGCCAUGAUUUAACUCAGAAAUGGGACUUUUAAAUUCCUUUUGGUUAUUAUUCCAAUGAUUAAGUGAAAACUUCCUAUUUCGAUUUGUUUGAGUUUGAGGCUCUUGAGUGUGUGUAUCUAAGAGGUUUUCUUUUAUUCGCCUUGAUCGAGCAUCUAGGUAAUUCGUGAUUGUGAUUAAUCUCAGGUGAUCCAGAGGACACCGAGAAGGUCUUUUAAUUUCCUGCUUUUGCUCUUGCUUUGCUCCGGAUUACGGUGAGGGAUUCCGAACUAUUUUGCACAAAAAAAUUGCUUCUCGAACUUUUAUAACCACUGUUUGUAUAAUUGCAUAUAUAUAUAUAUAUACGUGAUGUGACUUGAUAAGUGCUUCUUACAUGCCUAAGUGGUCAAAUACUUGAUGAAUCUUGUUCAUUUGAAUGAAAAAUACUUAUUUCUAGGCGAGUGUGUACUUUAUCGCACUCGACCUAACUGUUGUUGUAUCACUUAACUGUUCAAUAUUUCAUUGUUUAUAUGUUAUUUGCGUAUGCUGUAGGCCAUGUGUACUUUAUCACAUCGGCUGAACAAGGCUUUUCCCCCUUCGUUAUCACCUAUUCGAGCCAGAAGCGGACUCGGUCGGAUAGGUUGAUAACCCUGGGCACUGUAUUUUGGUAUACUCGAGUAUUACCGUUGGAGGGAUAAGGUGAUGGCCAGUCAACCGAAGGAGUUACCCAUAGGACUUAUAAGGACGGGAAGUGGACCGAAUACUGUAUCCUUUUGUGUUUGCUUUACUAUUAAUACUAUUACUGCUCUCCUAGUUGACAUUUCUCGGGUAAGACUCCUUAUGAUCAAUGAUCUCUUAGACGAAGCAAUCCUUGCAAUGUUCUUCUAGUCGGACGAGUCACUAUUUGUUUGACUAAAAUUCAUGAAAAUAUAUGUAUAUGGUCAUUCAUUCCAAAUGUACGUUAGUGAUGUUAAAUGAUUUAUGAGUUGUACUCAUAGUAAAGUUACCAGCAAAAGUACUACUACUACACGUGAUUUCAAAGUAGCAAUUACGCACUGAUUUAUAAAUACUUGAUUUUCCCUUUCGAAACCUCAUUGAGCUUUAGCUCACCCCCAAAAAUAUUUUAGUUCUAUACAGGGCUCAAGAAGGAUAGUUACUCAAGCACAAGGAUUUGGAGUACCGUGGAUUAUCCUUUAUCUGGGUUGUGAUUGAUUUUCUUUGUGGAAUGUAAUGGUUAUUUUGAAAGAUUUGUGAACUUUAUGGUAUGAUGUACUUGUGGUUGAAGUGAAUGUAAAUCUCAUGAUAUUUUGCAGAUUAUACUUUUGUAAGAAUGAUUUGAAUUGCAAACAUAAGAAUUGUACUUAAGUUAUUAUUAUGAAAAUUUAGAUGAAGUAUUGGACUUGUACCUUGGUAUGUUGGACUAGUGGAUAUAAUAUACUCCGUUUGAGCUUUUAAGAACCAUCGAUUAUACUCAUGCUUGAGUUUUGUAGUGAGUCCCAACGAGAGGUGGGCAGGCGGCCCGUCGAACCCUUUGAUUCGCCUUAGGGGGAGGUGAGGCUGUCACUGGAGGUAUAAGAGCUUAGACUCUAAUCUUUGUAGUGUAUCCUAGACUUUAAGUAUAGGAUGCCGGACUGUGGAGUUUGAUUGUCUAGUAAGUGGGAUGUGAUCUUAAUACUUGAUGAUUGAUUGAGUAAUAUUUAAGUGCUUGUUUUUAAGUGGGUUUGCACACUAGGGUUUCUUAUAUUAUAGGAAACUGAAGAGAAUUGUGUGAGAUUGAUUUGAAAAGUGAUAGUUGAGUUUCUUGAACAUUGGUACUAGUUGAUAUCUAUAUAAUCGAAUUUGACUGGGUAAAUCGUAAGAUUCGAGGUAUCCUCUAGACUUGUAAUCUUCGUAAUUAUAUGUAUAAAACUGAAUGUGAAUCUUGGAUCGAUUGCUUGAGUGAGACCUCUUGUGAAAUUUUCUUUGAGGAAUAGUGGGGAUUGAGUUGAUUUGCAUCUGGAGAUGGCCAGUCCUUGUACGAAUUGACUUGGUUUCCACUUGACGCUUAAGUGAGCCAGUUGUACAUAUUCUCUGAGUUUGAACAUGGGAUUUGAGGCUUUAACUAGAAAUCCCAAGGUUGGUUAUUCUUGGAGAUGAAUGUACUUUAGUUAUUGGCUGGCUUGUUAAAGAUUUUUAAACUUUGGAUGAAUGACCUUUGAUUUCAACUUUUAUUAUGACUUGAUUAGCUCUAAUUUUGUAAUGGCAUGCAACUUAAUUGAGACUAGUUUAAAUUCUAUGUUAACUGUGAAUGUGUCAUUUGUGAAAAUGUUAUCUGUGGAUGUUUUCUUGCUCAUUUUGAAAAUUGUUAAAUACACGUGUGCAUAGAUAAUUUUUGAUUUAGUGAGCCAUUUACACAUACAUGUAUAGAUUAGUUGUGAGAAUGGAAGCUGGGAGACGACGACGUGGGCGUCAACCCAGACGACCUCAAAAUCAAGGAGGAGAUAGAGAAUCUACCGCCGACCGAAACGUUAAACCUAGGGUUGGGAUAGAAAACCAAAUUGGGUUAGUUUUGACUCGCAUGAUAGACAUACUAGAGUGAUUGGUACCCCAACAAGGCCAGGGAAUUGGACAACUGAACCAACUUGGAAACCACGAAAUAGGGGAGGAUAGGGAUUUAGAGCGAUUUCAAAAGUUUUUUUCUCCUAAAUUUUCUAGGGGUCCUGACCCCGAUAUAGCUGAGAAUUGGUUGGAGAAUAUAAGGAAUAUAUUUGAUGCACUAGAUUAUUUCGAGUAGAGAGAAGUAAAUUUUGCUGUGUUCCAACUUGAAGGACCGGCUCGAUUAUGGUGGAAUGUUAUAUGAAAUAAGUGGGAAAGGGAACAAACUCCGUGAACUUGGAUGAAUUUUGUCCUAGAAUUUAAUGAAAAUUCCUUCCACCUCUAGUCCAAGAAAAGAUAGAGGAUGAUUUUAUAAAACUUCGUCAAGGAACUUCAAGUGUGGUGGAAUAUGAAACUGAGUUCACGAAGCUAUGUAGGUUUGCCUGGGAUUGGUAAUUACAGAGCGAAAGAGAAUAAGGCGGUUUAUUUAGGGACUCAAUCUAGAAAUUCAAGAUGGUCUCGCAGCGGCCCAAAUCGAAAUGUUUAGUGAUGCCCUUGAGAAAGCCCAAAGGGUUGAGAUUUCAAAAGCCAAAUUGAGAGUUUUUCAAGUACGGAAAAGAGAUGCAACUAGUAGUAGUCACCUUGAGGCAUCUAGAAACACUGUACCACCACCUAAAGUUGGAAAAGGAGCUAGUGGGGUGAGACUACCACUUCCAUCUUCUUCUUAGAUGCAGCAACUAAAAGGAACUCCGUCACAAGGAACUCAGAUAAAAAGGGCUCAAUCAAGGGUGACACCGCAGGGAAGUCAAGCCAUGAGUUUUCAACCAAUCUAUGGAUACUGUGGAAAAGGAAACCACACCGAAAAUAACUGCUGGGUGCAGGAGCGAAAGUGUUUGCGUUGUGGGAGUACAGACCAUCAGGUUAGCAAUUGCGCAAGAAAGCAACCACGAGAGAGUAAUAAUCGACAAGGAUAUGGAACUACUUCUGAAUGAACUACUGAAGGAGGGAAUCGACCACAAGUGUCAACUGGAACAUACGCCUCUAUUGGUCGACUGACUCUGGGGUCGAUCGAGGUAGUUGAAGGUAUGAAUUUCGAGGACGAAUUUCUCUUAAGGGGGAGAGAAUGUGAGGACUCGUAUUUUAAUUAUUGCAAAAUAUUCUUAAAUUGGUCAUUUAAAAGUAUUUUUGCAUGUGGCUUACUCAAGUUUUCCCAAAUUGCAUGAAUUUCUCGAAAAUGAGUCUAAACAAUUGGUUUUUUAAACAAUUAUUAUUUUAAUGAACAAAUUUAUUCGAGUUGAAUUAUUGAUGGUGAUUUUGAUUGUUAUAUAUACUUGCAUUAUAUAUUUUAAAGUUUUAGAGUCGAAUAAGUUGAAAUUUCAAAGUUCGAGCGAGAAUUCCUUAAGUUCGACCCUUGUGCGCCCGCGUGCCGAAAUGGCCCCAACAGGCGCAAUAAUCAGCUUAAUUGGAGAUUUAAGAAUUUGAUAUUAGACUACUAAGAAUAUACUAUUAAUGCACUAGAGGAAUUACCUCGGAAGUUUAGUGCACAAAAGUAGCAAACGAGCGCGAAAAGUGGUCGCGCAAACCCUGCUCGGAUCUAGCGAGGUUUGACCUUGAAAACUUAGCCUUUAAGCUUCCUUUUCUCCCCAAAAAACACACUUAAAACAUUCUGAAACAAUCUCUCUCAUCUUUCUCUCUCUAAAUUCGGCCCUCGCCAGAAAAAAAAUAAAGGAAGAAGAGCUCUCCAAUUUUUCUGCUCAAACCUUGCACCUAAUCCAUCAAAGUUCCUCAUCAACUUGUGGGUUUUCAUCCUAGCUAAGUGGAGGAGCUGAUUUUGUGGCUUUGAGGGUGGAUUGGGUGGUUGAUGGUAGUGAAAUUUGGGAAGGAAAAUUCUGAUUUUGCUGGGUUUCAUAGCUUCAAGAGGUAACACACAAAAUCCUUGCUUUCUUAGUUCAUUUCUAGCUUUGAAGCUUGUACUUUCCUUAUUGUUGUUAUUAGUUACAUUUGGUUGGUUCAUGUGGGCUUUAUGAACUUCCACCAUUGUUGUUUGAGGGCUGUUAAGAUGUUAAUGUGUGUGUGAGUGUGAUUUUGGUGAGUUAUAAUGGUAGAAACUAGAAGAGGAAGAGAAAAAAGGGGAACCGAGAGAAGGGAGCACUGCUGACCGAAAUUAUUGACCUUGUUACUCUGUUUUUCUGCCCAUAUUUUCGUGCCUUUUAUUUCAGUCCAUUUGAGUGCUAAUAUGUUGAGCUUUAAGUGUACAAAAUUUCAGCCAAAAACCCUUUGAUUUGGAAAAUUUUUGACUUGCUGCCCGACUUUCUUGUUUGCUGCUGCCCUGUAAUUUCGAAAAUUUUCUGGUGGCAAUUGAGCUUCCAAAUUGAUGUAGAUAUGUUGUGCUAUGUGUAUUGUGGUUGUCUACCAAAAAUCAACCCAAAUGGUUGGUUAAAUUUUGAGGUACAAGUAAAGAAGUAAAACUGGAACAAGCUCCAGAAUUUUCUGACCAGCAAUAUUUGUGUAGCUAUAACGUUUUGCUCAUUGAUCAAAAUCAAGUGCUGCUUGUGGCAUUUGAAACUAGACUCUUAUAGCUUUAAAAUGGUACCAAUCUCAUUUUCUAUUUCAUCCCGAGUGAUCCAUGGUGAGUCUUGAAACUUUGCUGAUUGACAGCCACUGUUCACCCGAGGACAGUCCAGAAAUUGUAACUUGUUGCUGAUUUUUUGAACCACUUGGGUUUGGAUAUUGAAAACGAUUUCUUCUGUAUAAAUGUAGCCUUGUGAAUCUAGUUUUUAAUGCCACCAACCAUUCCUGAUUUGAGUAAAUAUAGAGCCAGAUAUGACCUUUUUGCUAAAGUGUGUCAGAAUUGAAAUUCUGGAAAACAAAGCUCAUCAGUCCUUAAGCUUGUGCGAACUUCAAACUUUUAUUUCUUGAGCUAGGAACAUUGGAAUUGAGUUCUGUUAUUUUUUUUUUUUUUUGAAAACUUGAAUGGAACGUAUAUCAAAUUUCAAAGGUUGGUUUUGAUUCUAUGAUUUUUGACAAAAAUCCAAGGUUAUUGGAAAAGUGGGGACUGUUUUGCCCUAUCUUCUAUGAACGGAAAUUUCACUUGAAAAAUUGACUUGCUUCUGAUUUGACUUUUGCAUAACGGUCUUCUACAAAGUUGUUAUGCUUCACAUGAAGUUUCCGACAAUGUAAAAUUUUCCAUUUUUGGACUUUCUGAACUUCCGGACCGAUUUUUCAAAAUUUCACGUGUAAAAGUGAAAUUUUCCGAUUUGAACCUGCUUGCUUUGUUAAGAGCUUAGGUCACUCUUUUGAGACUCUUGGGAUAUUCCAAACUUAUUUUAUGGUGAAAACGUGCUCACUUAUAAUUUGAAACUUUAUUUUGAAUGUCGGUUUCGAUAAACCGAAACACUUGAAAAUUUGGCCUUGAGCAUUUUAACUAGAGAAAUCCUUGAGGAAUUUCACUAAAUUUCCUAUUUGAAAGUUAGAACUUUAACUUCCAUAUUUAUUAUGGAAAACGUGAUUGUUAGGAAACUCUGACUUUGUAAGUUCAGAAAAUAUGAUUUUUCACUUAUAAUCUAGUACUUGGGCUUUUAUUGAAAAUUUUCUAGUACGAACACAUUUUUCUCCUUUUUCGAUUUUCGUGCCAAAUUAAGCAUUUUACUCUUCUUUUGAAAUUGAUAGUCCUUGCCAUGAUUUAACUCAGAAAUGGGACUUUUAAAUUCCUUUUGGUUAUUAUUCCAAUGAUUAAGUGAAAACUUCCUAUUUCGAUUUGUUUGAGCUUGAGGCUCUUGAGUGUGUGUAUCUAAGAGGUUUUCUUUUAUUCGCCUUGAUCGAGCAUCUAGGUGAUUGUGAUUAAUCUCAGGUGAUCCAGAGGACACCGAGAAGGUCUUUUAAUUUCCUACUUUUGCUCUUGCUUUGCUCCAGAUUACGGUGAGGGAUUCUGAACUAUUUUGCACAAAAAAAUUGCUUCUCGAACUUUUAUAACCACUGUUUGUAUAAUUGCAUAUAUAUAUACGUGAUGUGACUUGAUAAGUGCUUCUUACAUGCUUAAGUGGUCAAAUACUUGAUGAAUUUUGUUCUCUUGAAUGAAAAAUACUUAUUUCUAGGCAAGUGUAUAUUUUAUCGCACUCGACCUAACUGUUGCUGUAUCACUUAACUGUUCAAUAUUUCAUUGUUUAUAUGUUAUUUGCGUAUGCUAUAGGCCAUGCGUACUUUAUCACAUCGGCUGAACAAGGCCUUUCCCUCUUCGUUAUCACCUAUUCAAGUCAGAAGUGGACUCGAUCGGAUAGGUUGAUAACCCUGGGCACUGUAUUUUGGUAUACUCGAGUAUUACCAUUGGAGGGAUAAGGUGAUGACCAGUCAACCGAAGGAAUUACCGAUGGGAGUUAUAAGGACGGGAAGUGGACCGAGUAUUGUAUCCUUUUGUGUUUGCUUUACUAUUAAUUCUGUUAUUGCUCUCCUAGUUGACAUUUCUCGGGUAAGACUCCUCAUGAGCAAUAAUCUCUGAGACGAAGCAAUCCUUGUAAUGUUCUUCUAGUCGGACGAGCCACUAUUUGUUUGACUAAAAUAUAUGAAAAUAUAUGUAUAUGGUCAUUCAUUCCAAAUGUACGUUAGUGAUUUUAAAUGAUUUAUGAGUUGUACUCAUAGUAAAGUUACCAGCAAAAGUACUACUACUACACGUGAUUUCAAAGUAGCAAUUACGCACUGGUUUAUAAAUACUUGAUUUUCCCUUUUGAAACCUCAUUGAGCUUUAGCUCACCCCAAAAAAAAACAUUUUAGUUCUAUGCAAGGCUCGAGAAGGAUAGUUACUCAUGCACAAGGAUUUGGAGUACAGUGAAUUAUCCUUUAUCUGGGUUGUGAUUGAUUUUCUUUGUGGAAUGUAAUGGUUAUUUUGAAAGAUUUAUGAACUUUAUGGUAUGAUGUACUUGUGGUUGAAGUGAAUGUAAAUCUCAUGAUAUUUUGGGGAUUAUACUUUUGUAAGAAUGAUUUGAAUUGCAAACAUAAGGAUUGUACUUUAGUUAUUAUUAUGAAAAUUUAGAUGAAGUAUUGGACUUGUACUUUGGUAUGUUGGACUAGUGGAUAUAACAUACUCCGUUUGAGCUUUUAAGAACCAUCGAUUAUAUUCAUGCUUGAUUUUUGUAGUGAAUCCCGGCGAGAGGUGGGCAGGCGGUCCGCCGAACCCUUUGGUUCGCCUUAGGGGAAGGUGCGGCUGUCACAAUUUCAUUCAUGCUUGUACAAGUGGCUUGAUUUGUAUUGACCUGUACUUGUAUUUGUACUUUUGCUUGAUUUGUAAGUGCUGAACUGCAGUAUGUAUCACACUAGAUACGAGUGGGAGGUACCUCUCAUUUCCGUCUCCAUACUUUUAUCUCGAUUCAGUCGAUUGGAGAUGUUAUCUCAUCGACUUCUUGGGGACCCAAAUUUUACUGGCUAAUUAAUCGAGUCGAGCCGGUAAGGGUUUGUCGAUUAAAUAAUGAACCAUGGGUAUCUAGUGUUGUCAAGUGGAGUGUUAUCUUCUCGACUAAUCGAUAUACUUAAAUAUUACCACCAGAGUUUAGUUGGUAUUCGAGCCUGGCAAGGGACUUGAAUGGUGGACGGAUUGGUGUGAAGCGAAGUACUAUUGGAUUGGUUACUUUACUUGAAAGUUGAUGGAGUGUCAACUAAUACUGGAUCAAACUCUGGUGAAGCAACGGGAAUUUGGCUCCUGAGAUCCAUUUGUAUCCUUAUACUUUGAUUGUUAAUCGUAGUGUUAUUAUUUCUUUUAGAAAAAGAAUUUUACACUCGCUCAUUUUGAGAUUUGGUACUUGAAGUAUUUUUGCUCACUUUUAUGAACUUGUUAUGCUCGCUACUUUGCAACUUUGAUACAUGCACUUUUAAAUAAUGGCCAACUUGCUAUUUGAAACCUCACUGAAUUUUAGCUCACCCUAUUUCGUUAAAUUUGUUUUCCUUACAAGGGAUACGAAUGAGGGCGUGAGACUGGUACAGGCUAGCAUAAUAUAGAAUUUGGAAAUUUUGCGAUUGUAUUCGCGGUAGUGCUCGGUUAGGGUUGAAUUUAUCUGGAAUUCAUAUCUUUUGUUAUAAUUGGGAUUGUAUGAAUGUUUGGAAUAGAAAUGAAUGUACAUAUACGUUCCAAGUUUGAGAAUUGUUAUUUCCUUUACUCUUGAGAUUGUAACCUAUUUUAUUUGGAGUGAGUGAGUCCUGACGAGAGUUGGACAGGCGGUCCAUUAAACCCUGGGAUAUGUCCUAGGGGAAGGUGGGGUCGUCAUAGUCAACUCCAGUGGUUAACUUUCAUAAUGAUUAAUUAUUUAAUAACUUGUUAAAUUAAACAAAAAAUUAUCUAUAACAUGUUUUAUUGAUGUCCAUACCAUUUUUACAUUAAAAAAUCAUAUUUUAAUCAUCCACUAGUUCAACCAUCCAUUCAUUGGUUGGACCAGUAACCCACUAACCCAUCCAAAAGUUUGAAUCGCAACUUUGUUAAUCUGCAAUCGGCGGUCUUUCUUCGGUUUCAUCUCUGAAACCCAAUUCUGGUUGACAAUGCCACUCGUUUCUAGCUUCCAAUAUUUGCCAUGAAAGGUCCAUAUCUAUUUGCUCGUGGUAGUUUCCACAUUCCUGACCAUACACCAUUAUUGUCGACAAACAGCCACAUUUUUUGAGUUGAUAAUUAGUUGUUUCUAUUAGGAAUUUUUCUUGCUCAAAGGGGAGCAAAGUACGAACAAUUGCCAGUUCACUAGUUUAGUAAUUUUGCAUUUUGACAAAUUAUAGUUGAUAAAUCGAGAAAUUUUGGCCUAAUAGUUAAAAUCGAAAUUUCAGAAAUUAGAGGUUGCGAUUACAAAUUCUCCUUUCUCCUCUUUGAUUCUUGAAAAAAAGUUAUAGUUCAUAGGGAAUACUUGUACUAAUUUGUAAUAGUAAAAUAAGGAUUUAAAUAUUGUUUAAAUGAAGUCUAGCAGUAGAUUUUGAAGUUUUUGAAGCUUGAGCCUAAUGUGGCCUUAAUGUUGGGUACGGUUGCUCGGACCUCAUUCAAAAGGCAUCAUGAUUUUACAUUGUAGUUUACCUGACUUCACAUAACGUAACCACUGAGCUUCCAACAGGGAGGGUCUUAACUCUUAAGUCUCUUUUUGAGUUAUAGAUGAGGGUUCAAAUUUCACCUAAAAAAAAAAAUUUUAAGGAUUGUGCCAAAACACUUUCUUGGUCUAGUAAGGUCUAUAUGCCUGCUAGCUCCAAACAUAGCCUCUUUAGACUCUCCUUCUCUCUAGUUUAGGAUAGAUAAAUUAUAUAAUAGUUGUCGUCUCAAAAAAAAAAGGACUUCGCAUAAUGAAAUAAUUUUGUUUGGAUAGGGUAUUAUUUUAAAUAUUAUUUGGAAUAAUUGCUAUAGCAUUUUUUGUGAUAUGAUGUAUGUGAGAUAAAAAGAUGAUUGAGAAUAUAAAAAGAUGAGUUAAAAAAUAUAUUUAUGAUGCAAGCGAAAUAUUAUUUAGAAUAAUUCCCCUAUCCAAACAAACAUAUUAUCAGUUGGAUCCCGCCACACCGAAACUUGGGACAGAAAUGGCUGUAAUGAUAUCAAUUGUACACUUUUGACAGGCUGUAACUUAGCACAAAUAACUUGUACUUAUUGACCAAAUCCGGAAAUUUGAAAGUUUGUCCCAGCCUCUAUUAACAUACUCCCUAGUAGCUGCAAUAUUGCAUCAAGAUUUGCAUCACAGGACAUGCUUGGGUUGCACCCUUUGACAGUUUGACCUCCUUCCCAAGGUCUACCACUAAUAAGUUGCAAUUCCAUGACCACUUAUAUUAACUUUUUUUUAUGGUUUCUAAAAUAGAAUAGACACUGAUUGAAAAAUAAAGAAAUAAUGACAUUAAUGCAUGGUGAAAACUUGACAAAUUCAUAUAUCGUGAGUCAUGUUUUGGCCAACACCAUAUGACGAAACUUUAUUUUAUGAUGGUGGGUGGUGACCUUUAACAAGAGAUAAUUUCAGUAACCUUCCUUGAUAUUUUUUAUAAUAUCACUUAGCAUCCUUUAGGUUUCAAAAUUUUACUUACCUCUCUUGGAUUGAUAAUUUUUAUAACAUUUUAACCGCUUUUGGAGGAAAUGCAAGAAAGAUAAAAUUUUUGUUCCAAUACCACCCUUAUGUUAUCAUACUUAUGAAGCUUACAACAAUAAUAAAAAAUAAAAUAAUGUUAACAAGUAAAAAGAUGAAAAUAUGAGCAAGUAUAAAUGCAGUAACGAGUAAUUUUAUAGAUAUAUAAUAACUAUUACUUAGUAUGAUGAAUGACUUUUUUUUUAAGAAAAAGAGAAUAUUCCUAGAUAUAUAUUUGGUCAUUAGAUUUUUUAAUUCUUACUUCUUUAUAUAUAUUUUUUAUAAGUAAGAUUUAUAUUACAAACCAUGGGCAUAAAGAGAUUAUUUUAAUUUUGGAUUAAUUACAUUUACCUCCCCUGAAGUAUAACCAAACUACCAAUCAAACCCUGAGGUUUGGUCAAAUAACAAAUAUACCCCUAUCACUAACUUCUGUUAAAUGUCUGUGACGGAAUGAGUAAAAUGAUUACAUACCCAAAAUAGUUGAAACUGCCUGUCUUACAAAACAUCGUGUACCUUCUUUUCUUUGUUAUUUUUUUUCCAAUUUUCUAGAACCCUCAAAGGUAACAACAAUGGCAACAGGAAUGUUUGGGCUGCUGUUGCUGCAUCCAUCAUCAGCCAUAUGCGCCUGCCACCGUCGCCAAUCGCCGACUCCAGCUUCUUCAUCUUUUUUUUGUGUGGGUUGCCAUUCUUGACACAAACUCAACCAAAAUUCACUGCAUAACUGUUCAAAUAGGCCUACAUGUGAGACUGCUCUGUCUCGCCUUUCCCAUCGGAAGCAAAGACCAAGUUCCACACUUUUGCAGUAAAUCACUUCUCAACGGGUAUAACAUGAACAAGUCAAAUGAACCAAAUUUGGCUACUUCCAUCUUUCAGAAAGCAAGUUCUAACCUCAAAAUUGAAAAACGAAAGAAAAAUAAAAUUUUAAAAAUUGCAAGUGAAGAUUAAUCACCAGCUAUUCCAUUACCUUCUUCAAAACCCAUUUCCUAUCGCUCACCAAAUUUAACACAAGCCUUUUUCCUAUCCCUUACCAAAUUUAAGACAAGCCUUUCAAAUGAUAUGAAGGACAAACUUCCAAAUCUCAAUUUACAAAAAACUGGAAAAAAAAAUUCCAAAUCUAGUAGCCAAGACAUUUUGAAGAUAAUAGUUUCACUUGUGUAUCUAAGCAAAUACCAAAUGAUUUCUCUAGACAUCGUCUACCAAUUCUGGUGCAAAUCCAGCACUAUAAUGUCCGUAUCUUCAUAUGUUCUUAAUGGCUUAACCAAAGAAGAAAUAAAAAAUUGGAUGGAAGAGGAAAAGGCAACGGCUUUGGUUUAGAAAGAUGGAUGAGGAGAAAAGAUGAAGGAAUUAGAAUAUGCGAUGGAAUUGACGGCAAAGAAGGGUUAAUGGUUGGAAGCAAUUUAACAUGCAAUUUUGGUGGAGAUGCAAACACCGAAGUUGCAGGCUUGAAAGGGAGUCUACCAC